CUAAUUCUAGACCAGAAGAUCUUCUCAUGUUGGAUAUCAGAAAUAAAAUGGGUGAUCUUUCGGGAGGGAGUGCCAGUAGCACCAGUUCAUCGUCUUUUUUGUCUUGCAAUUCUAGUCUACACUCUCAUUUUGGGACUCCCUCGUCCUCUUCCUCUGUCAAUCAACCAUCGCCAUUAGCAUCCUCUUCCUCUGUCAAUCAACCCUCGCCAUUAGCAUCCUUUUCUGUGAACCAGCCAUCCCCUUCUUCCGUGAAAGGAGUAUUCUUAACGGACAGUGGUACUCCCUCUUCCUCUUCGUCCGUAAAUCGGCCAUCCCCAAACCCGACCGAUGAAAGGGUCGUAGAAUAUCAAGGGGCUAUACGCGAGGAAAUGGCCAAAUUAAUGCCCGGCAGGGAUCACCAAGAGAUUCUAGUUGCAGCCGAACGAAUACAUGGUGGGAGUGCUAAUAUAGGAUUUCUUCGAUCACAGCUCCGGGAUUUAGUAGCAAAUGGCACUGAAAGUGAAGCCUUCAAGUAUGGAAUAGCUGAGCUAGCGAAUGAGAAUUUAGCGGCAAAUUUCGCUGCGAUGCAUUUAGCGGAGAGUCCUUUGGCUCACCCCACAUAUGUUUCCUUGCCAUAGAUCACAUUCUCGGAUUUCUGGUGGAGACCAUUUCUUGGUCAAAAAUUCGUAGGUGCUAGCCUUCGGUAUUACUGAAAAUGGUCGUUCAUGGCUAUGUUCGACAAAAAUGGGGGUUGUGUGGCCAUUGAUAAUCGACCAGAGGCUUGUACACCUCACCCCACAUAUAUUUCCUUCCCAUAUAUCACAUUCUUGGAUUUCUGGUGGAGACCAUUUCUUGCUCGAAAAUCCGAAUAUGUUAGCCUUCGGUACUAUUAAAAAUGGUCGUUCAUGGCUAUUUUCCACAAAAAUGGGGGUUGUGUGGCCAUUGAUCUUCGACCAAAGGCUCAUACACCUCACUGCACAUAUGUUUCCUUGCCCUAGAUCAUAUUCUUGGAUUUAUGUUGGAUACCAUUUCUUGGUCAAAAUCCGUAGGUGUUAGCCUUCAGUGUCAUUGAAAAUGGUCGUUCAUGGCUAUUUUCGACAAAAAUGGGGGUUGUGUGGCCAUUGAUCAUCAACUAGAGGCUCGUACACCUCACCCCACAUAUGUUUCCUUGCCAUAGAUCACAUUCUUGGAUUUCUGGUGGAGACCAUUUCUUGGUCAAAAAUCUGUAGGUGUUAGCCUUCGGUAUUAUUCAAAAUGGUCGUUCAUGGCUAUUUUCGACAAAAAUGGGGGUUGUGUGGCCAUUUAUCAUCGACCAGAGGCUCAUACACCUCACCCCACAUAUGUUUCCUUCCCAUAGAUCACAUUCUUGGAUUUCUUGUGGAUACCAUUUCUUGGUCAAAAAUUCGUAGGUGUUAGCCUUCGGUAUUAUUGAAAAUGGUCGUUCAUGGCUAUUUUUGACAAAAAUGGGGGUUGUGUGGCCAUUGAUCAUCGACCAGAGGCUCGUACACCUCACCCCACAUAUGUGUCCUUGCCAUAGAUCACAUUAUUGGAUUUCUGGUGGAGUCCAUUUGUUGGUCAAAAAUCCAUAGGUGUUAGCCUUCGGUAUUAUUGAAAAUGGUCAUUCAUGGCUAUUUUCGACCAAAAUGUGGGUUGUGUGGCCAUUUAUCAUCAACCAGAGGCUCAUACACCUCACCCCACAUAUGUUUCCUUGCCUUAGAUCACAUUCUUGGAUUUCUGGUGGAGACCAUUUCUUGGUCAAAAAUCCAUAUGUGUUAGCCUUCGGUAUUACUGAAAAUGGUUGUUCAUGGCUAUUUUCGACAAAAAUGGGGGUUGUGUGGCCAUUGAUCAUCGACCAGAGCCUCGUACACCUCACCCCACAUAUGUUUCCUUGCCAUAGAUCACAUUCUUGGAUUUCUGGUGAAGACCAUUUCUUGGUCAAAAAUCCGAAUGUGUUAGCCUUUGGUAUUAUUGAAAAUGGUCGUUCUUGGCUAUUUUCGACAAAAAUGGGGGUUGUGUGGCCAUUGAUCUUCGACUAGAGGCUCAUACACCUCACUACACAUAGGUUUUAUUGCCAUAGAUCACAUUCUUGGAUUUAUGGUGGAGACCAUUUCUUGGUCAAAAAUCCGUAGGUGUUAGCCUUCAGUGUCAUUGAAAAUGGUCGUUCAUGGCUAUUUUCGACAAAAAUGUGGGUUGUGUGGCCAUUGCGCACCGGACAGGCUACAGUAGCUGUCCGGUGGCGCACCGGACUGUCCGGUGCGCUGCUCGGCAGAAGGCAAGGAUGUCCUUCAAAGUUUGCCUCCAAAGGCUCCUAGCUGCCUUGGGGCUAUAAAAGGGACCCCUAGGCGCAUGGAGGAGACAUCUAAGCAUUCACUAAGCAUUCUAAGACUCUCACACUCCGCCACCGCGCAUUUGAUCGAUUGUGUUAGUGAUUUGAGCUCCGUUCGAGUUGUGAACUCUCUGUGCUACGUUUCGAGCUCAAGUCUUGGCUUGUGUGCGUGUGUGUGCUGUGGAUUUGUGUCUUGUGUUUGUUGCUCUCCCAACCUUACUCUGUGCUUUCAUUGUGAUCUGUAUUGUAAGGGCGAGAGACUCCAAGUUGUGGAGAUUCCUCGCAAAUAGGAAAAUACACUAAAAGAAAGUCGUGGUAUUCAAGUUGAUCAUUGGAUCGCUUUGAAAGGGGUUGAGUGCAACCCUCGUCCAUUGGGACGCCACAACGUGAAAGUAGGCAAGUGUUACUUGGCCGAACCACGGGAUAAAAAUCGAGUGUCUCUUGUGUUACCUUCUUUGUGAUUGUUUUAUCCACAAGAACUCGCUUCAAAACUACUUAGUCGCGCUAACACUUUAAUAACUAAGUUUUGUGGCUAUUUAGUGAUUGAUUUUACAGGAUCACCUAUUCACCCCCUCUAGGUGCUCUCAAUUGGUAUCAGAGCCGUACUCUUCACUUAAGGGACUAACCGCCCGAAGAGAUGGAUCCUAAGGGAAAGGGCAUGGUGGUCAACGACAAGGAAAAGGAGUCCGUCUUCAACGUGCCAAGAGAUGACAAGCCUACCGACUCAGGCUCGAGUCACAAGAAAAGAGACGAGAAGAAGAGGCGCAUCAAGAAGAUCAUCUACUACGACAGCGAUGCCUCAUCUUCUUCACCACAUGACGACAACGACUCCUCGUCAAAGAAGAAAACGGUUAAUCAAAACUAUUCAUUUGAUUAUUCCCAUAUUCCGUACAAUUCUAAUGCUCAUUUGCUAUCAAUUCCACUUGGGAACCCCCCCCCCACUUUGAUGGAGAAGACUAUUCUUUCUGGAGUCAUAAAAUGCGUAGCCAUUUAUUUUCUCUCCAUCCUAGCAUCUGGGAAAUUGUUGAAAACAGAAUGCACUUUGAUAGUACUGACAAUGUCAUUUUUAUAAAUGAGCAAAUUCAUAAGAAUGCCCAAGCUACUACUGUGUUGCUAGCAUCUCUUUGCAAGGAUGAGUACAAUAAGGUGAGUGGCUUGGACAAUGCCAAGCAAAUCUGGGACACCCUUAAGAUAUCUCAUGAGGGAAACGACGUGUCACACCCGGGUUUUAGGGGCACCAAGACCCGGGCGUGAACAUAAACACCAGAUAUGCUGGGACCAAGUCUCACACAUAUGAUGUAUAGUGGCACAGGAUCGAAUGUCACAUCUUUAUAUAUAACAGGAGUUCUAUACAAAAUAAAUAAUUACAAUAUAAGGAGACAACGGCCCAGCAACCCAAAGUUGACUGGGAGACGACGGCCUAGACCUCUCACGAACACAUCGCAGCAUCCUCCAAGCGCCUCAUCCUGCGGUACCUGUUCUUGACCUGUGGGGGUGUGAGACAGCAAGAGUGAGCUCACAUACGUUCAUCGCUCAACAAGUUGUGGGGAAUAAUGUGUAUGAACUCGCCAAAGGUGGGAGCUCAUGUGAAGUGUAAGGCUUACCAAAGAGGAUGGCUGAAGCUGAGCAUUGCUUUUAAAGUUGGUCAAAAUUUUAUUAGCCAUUACUAAGUAUAAGUAAAUACCAACCCAAUUAAAUAGUAGAACAUAAGUAACAACAUCACCUGCGAUGCAAUGCAUAUGACAAAUUGAAUUUAAGUUCCAUAGAUUAAUCAUGUGAGUGUCCGAGCUGCUCAUGACCGUGAGCACGGCUAGUAUACCAGUUUUACACUCUGCAGAGGUUGCGCAUCUUUACCCACAAGUCAUGUUACCCAUCUGCCAAGGGAUCGCGACUUCCCAUACACCUCUACUGAGGAGGCGAGGCAGGGUAACACUACGAGGCCUUUACAAAGUUCCACUAGCUUCAGAAAACCGGCUACAGUUUAUAGGAAGCUCCAAUGCAGGAAUCCCUUGCAGGACCGCCAUCGCAGCAAAAUCCUCCCGAGGGCCUCCCUACACUGACCACUCCCCUACUGCCCUUGCCCCUUUCGGGUAAGGUAGUCUUCCACUAGCUUUCCUAAUUAAUCGGCCAAGGGCGUCCCAUUAAACCCUUGUGGUAGCACUGUUUUCCCGGGUGGUUCUCCAUGUUCCAAUUAACAUAAUGAUCUUAUCAUGAACAGUAAAUAGCAACUGAUAACAAAAGUAUGAAUAAUAUGUAUCUCAAUGCCCAAAUCCACAUAUAGCACUAGCAAGUACUACCCAGAAAGUUUAGUGGUAAACAAGGCAUAAAGAUAGACAAACUAGGGUAACCUAUUAGGUCCCAUCAAAUUAACCUAUGCAGAUCAUUAUGAUUAAUUAGAACAUGAGUGGGUAAAAGAAGUGAUCAAGGGCACAACUUGCCUGGGACUUGAGAUUCCAGGUACAAGGAUGAUCUUCAGGUGACUCGUGACCUCACGCUAGUCGUAGCAAUACAAACAAAUAUGGUAUAGGCAAAAUUAACAUCACACCAAACAUGAGAACAAACUGCAUAAUAAUAAUGUACGCGUUGCUAUGAGACUAACGCAACUUGAAUGGAUCAAAUCAGAUUUAAAACGGAGGAGUUAUGAUUUUCUGAAGAUUCUGUGUGUUUUGUAUAAGAUUAAAUGGGAUAUAAAUUUUAAUGUGACUUUCAUGUCAAAACAGUGGUACUAGAUGAUAUACAAUAAUAUUACAAAAUUAUAGGAAUUGGAACGGAUUAAUUUGGGCUUAAUAUGAAUUUUCUAUGAAUUUAUCAAGUUCUAGUAAUUAUUUUCAUAUUAAAAAUCCAUUUAUAAAUUAUUUUCUCUGAUUUACCUAGUCCUCGGACUGCGUGCGUCAAUACACAGAAAACCAGGGGCUAGCGCAAAAAGUACCCAAGGCUCAGGACCUACCCGCGGUGGAUUGCGGGUUAUUUUUCUAGAAACCGAGGGUUCUAUUUGCAAGGUGGCGCGACCGAAGGGGUAUCCUAAGCUCCCAACCGUUGGAUCGGAUCCGAGGGACCAGAUUAGUUUGCGUUGCGGUAAGUGAUGAAGCGAUCCUAACCGUUGGUAUCUGGAUCCACGGCCUGAAAUCACCCACGCCAAAAAUCUCACCCAAACCGAUCGAUCGCAAUCCAAAGGUUCCUGUUAUCUCUAUCCAAAGCGUUACGCAUGAUAUAAUCUCGGCCGCCCAUUAAGAUCUAACGGUCUCCGAGCCCACAGCCGAUCCGGUUUGGUAUGACUUAAUCUAGGCCGUUCAUCGCGGAGUCAAGGGCCACCGCAUCGCCCCCAACCACACCCCGGCUGAGCAGAGCAGCGACGCCCGAGCUCCCGACGGCGCAUCGCUGGAGCGGCUUCAAUCCGGCGCCCUGACGCGCCAUACCCGAAAUCGCAUAGUGCAAAACAGUGUAUAGAUUAAGGCGGAACACAGGGAGUAGCCCUUACCGGCGAUAGUGGCGCGGGACUCACCACCCACAUGGAUAGGUGAUCCGCGGUGGUGAUUCAGCUCCGACGAGCAAUGGCGGUGGCGGCUCCAAGUCCUCUGUGCUCUCGGUGCCGUGCUUGUUUGCGAGGACCAGGGGGUCGCACGCAUGGUUUAUAUCGCCUCAAGGAUUCGUGAUGGCCGACGGAUUACGCGGAGCCCAACCACCCAGCAAACGCGCGAAGGUCGGUGAUGGCGGAGUCCGAUUUGCCGGGGAUCUCGGCGAGCAGUUGGGGAAAGAUGGAGCUGACGCCCUGGGCCCACGAAGCACGGAUGACGGAGGGUUGUUGGGGGAAGAAGUUGUUAUGUGCCCAGAUUCCAGAAGCACGAGGCGAGCACACGCAAAACCACCAAUCGAGAUUCCGUUGAGAUCUCCAUGGAAAUAAUCUGGAGAAGGGAGCCAUGAGCGCUGGGCAAGCGGAUGGGUCUGACAGGCAUACCCCGAGGUCACGGGAGAAUCCAAACGGACUCCCCGGCGGUCAGUGAGCUAAUCCCGGGCUUCCCGGAACAGUCCGCGCGGAGGUGCGCUCCGGCGAUCUCGGCCGGUUUGUUUGCAACCACCACGCGCAGCGGAGGGGAUAGGCCUGACAUGCAGGGCCCACCGGCAGCGAAAGCUUGUUGGACGGGGGUGGGAUUGGAGUGAGGCUGGCAGUAGCGGCCCACCGGUCAGUGAGGCAGACAAAUGUCGCGUGACAGCAAGGGAAAUGAGAGGAGGGCGGGAGCAGGCCGGUCCAGAAGAGAGGUAAGAUUGGGCCGAAUUCGGACCCAGAGACACAAGGCCAGUGUUAUCCCCAUUUCUUUUUCUUUUCUAUUAUCUUUUCUAUUUCUAAUUCAGAUAUCACAUUCAAAUUCAAAUCCCUGUUUAUAUUUUCGGAUUUCAACUUUCAAUCUAUAAUUCUAAUGUAAAGAUGAAUCCUAUUUCCAUUAUUAUUUAUUAUUCUACCUAUUAUUUAGUUACAAAUGGCUUGAUUAGGAUUUCCUUUCUUAUUUUCUAUUUUAUAUUUUCAUUUAUGAGUUGAGGCCAAAUUAAGUUAUGAUUUUCUUUAUUCAAAUAAAAUGCAUUACAAAAAUAACAUGAGCAUGGGAUGCACUUUCAUUUAUUUAAUUAUUGGUCACUUGACUAUUUUACUAUCUUAAUUGAUUACAAAAGAAAAGGUCCUAAUAAUUUUCAAAGGUGACAAAAAAAAUUCUAGAAUUACUAUCAUAAGUAUAUUUUUAUUUUUCUUCUUUAUUUCAUUAUUUUUUUCCUUGUUACCGAUUUUGGGCUUCACAAAUCCUACCCCCUUAAGAGAAAUCUCGUCCUCGAGAUUAGUAAGAAAGGGAUACAACCAGUUUGGUUUAGGAAUCAAAAGUUUUGUUUCAAGUUUUUUUUAUACUUGCUAGUAGAUGAUUUGGAAAAUAUAGAUAUAUAUGUCUAGCCAUCUAUUAUGUCAUAUGAGGUACAAUUAUGGCAAGUAUAGGUUGUGGCAAGGAAGAGUAUAAUAAGGAAAGACUUCAUCCUGAACUAUGGAUCUUGAUUCUGCUAGCGACUCAACUUGAUCUUUGAAGUCUUGAGUUGAUGCUUAUCCUUCUUUGACGUGGUUGGUCUCUUUUGGCCUUUCUUCUUGGAGUUGCCAUCCGAGUUAAGGACAUAUAGUUAGGAUAGCCGGGGUACACGAGGUAGGUAGGUUUGAACAAAGUUGUAUUUUGCUUUCGGAACAAAUGAACUAGGCAGCCUGUGAUGUAGGUUACAUUGUUGUUUACGGACGAGUUGGUAUAACACAUUAAUUUAGGUUAGGUUGUGUUUGUUGAAGCAGUGUCUAACCCAUAUCACCAGAUUAACUAACAUGUUAAUAACUUACUUUUGAUUGGAUCAUAUUGGAUUAGAUGGUGAUCUAGAUUAGAUUGGUUAUAACUAGAUUAGACUAAACAAUAUCUAAUUACUUUGGAUUAGACCAUGGUGGUUACACGAGUGUGGGAUAAAUAUGCUUAUUAGGGCAAGAUGAAUCCAUAAGGAUAAGGUAGAAUCUUUUGAGGCCAGUUAGAUCUAUUAGGAUGAGAUAAAAUCUUUUCAAGAUAAGAUGAGUCUAUUAAGAUAAGAGAGUAUCUUUUAAGAUAAGAUGGACCAAUUAAGAUAAGAGAAAGUCUUUUAAGAUGAGGGAUCUAUAUAAAAUAGAUACACUUUAAUGGAGGAUAAACCAGGUUGUUUAGUUAUCUUAUGAAUUUUAUUUAUUUAUAUUUAUACCUAUAUGUAUAUGCAGAUGUAAUUGUGGACAUUACUCCACAACUCAUCCCACUCAAUCAAAGAUCCAAAUCAAACAAGUAUCAUAAGAACAAGCAUUCAAGCAUAUAGAUAAAAAAAUAGUUUUGUUUUUUUUCCUAAGAGUAGGUCUCCUAUUCUUAAAAGUCACUUUGGGCACAGGAUUUCGAAGUGUGAAAUCCAAGUUUGUCUUUAGCAGGAAAAGGUAAGAAUAAUCAGAGUAAAGCGGAAAUAGAUGAGAAAAGAUUAAGAUAAGUUUAGAAAAGAAUCAGAGUAAGGUAAGUAGAUAAUGGUUGUCUAGUUCUAUCUAGGUUUCGUCCUAUAGUCAACAUCCCUCUGAUACCACUUCUGUCACACCCGGGUUUUAGGGACACCAAGACCCGGGCGCGAACAUAAACACCAGAUAUGCUGGGACCAAGUCUCACACAUAUGAUGUAUAGUGGCACAGGAUCGAAUGUCACAUCUUUAUAUAUAACAGGAGUUCUAUACAAAAUAAAUAAUUACAAUAUAAGGAGACAACGGUCCAGCAACCCAAAGUUGACUGGGAGACGACGGCCUAGACCUCUCACGAACACAUCGCAGCAUCCUCCAAGCGCCUCAUCCUGCGGUACCUGUUCUUGACCUGUGGGGGUGUGAGACAGCAAGAGUGAGCUCACAUACGUUCAUCGCUCAACAAGUUGUGGGGAAUAAUGUGUAUGAACUCGCCAAAGGUGGGAGCUCAUGUGAAGUGUAAGGCUUACCAAAGAGGAUGGCUGAAGCUGAGCAUUGCUUUUAAAGUUGGUCAAAAUUUUAUUAGCCAUUACUAAGUAUAAGUAAAUACCAACCCAAUUAAAUAGUAGAACAGAAGUAACAACAUCACCUGCGAUGCAAUGCAUAUGACAAAUUGAAUUUAAGUUCCAUAGAUUAAUCAUGUGAGUGUCCGAGCUGCUCAUGACCGUGAGCACGGCUAGUAUACCAGUUUUACACUCUGCAGAGGUUGCGCAUCUUUACCCACAAGUCAUGUUACCCAUCUGCCAAGGGAUCGCGACUUCCCAUACACCUCUACCGAGGAGGCGAGGCAGGGUAACACUACGAGGCCUUUACAAAGUUCCACUAGCUUCAGAAAACCCGCUACAGUUUAUAGGAAGCUCCAAUGCAGGAAUCCCUUGCAGGACCGCCAUCGCAGCAAAAUCCUCCCGAGGGCCUCCCUACACUGACCACUCCCCUACUGCCCUUGCCCCUUUCGGGUAAGGUAGUCUUCCACUAGCUUUCCUAAUUAAUCGGCCAAGGGCGUCCCAUUAAACCCUUGUGGUAGCACUGUUUUCCCGGGUGGUUCUCCAUGUUCCAAUUAACAUAAUGAUCUUAUCAUGAACAGUAAAUAGCAACUGAUAACAAAAGUAUGAAUAAUAUGUAUCUCAAUGCCCAAAUCCACAUAUAGCACUAGCAAGUACUACCCAGAAAGUUUAGUGGUAAACAAGGCAUAAAGAUAGACAAACUAGGGUAACCUAUUAGGUCCCAUCAAAUUAACCUAUGCAGAUCAUUAUGAUUAAUUAGAACAUGAGUGGGUAAAAGAAGUGAUCAAGGGCACAACUUGCCUGGGACUUGAGAUUCCAGGUACCAGGAUGAUCUUCAGGUGACUCGUGACCUCACGCUAGUCGUAGCAAUACAAACAAAUACGGUAUAGGCAAAAUUAACAUCACACCAAACAUGAGAACAAACUGCAUAAUAAUAAUGUACGCGUUGCUAUGAGACUAACGCAACUUGAAUGGAUCAAAUCAGAUUUAAAACGGAGGAGUUAUGAUUUUCUGAAGAUUCUGUGUGUUUUGUAUAAGAUUAAAUGGGAUAUAAAUUUUAAUGUGACUUUCAUGUCAAAACAGUGGUACUAGAUGAUAUACAAUAAUAUUACAAAAUUAUAGGAAUUGGAACGGAUUAAUUUGGGCUUAAUAUGAAUUUUCUAUGAAUUUAUCAAGUUCUAGUAAUUAUUUUCAUAUUAAAAAUCCAUUUAUAAAUUAUUUUCUCUGAUUUACCUAGUCCUCGGACUGCGUGCGUCAAUACACAGAAAACCAGGGGCUAGCGCAAAAAGUACCCAAGGCUCAGGACCUACCCGCGGUGGAUUGCGGGUUAUUUUUCUAGAAACCGAGGGUUCUAUUUGCAAGGUGGCGCGACCGAAGGGGUAUCCUAAGCUCCCAACCGUUGGAUCGGAUCCGAGGGACCAGAUUAGUUUGCGUUGCGGUAAGUGAUGAAGCGAUCCUAACCGUUGGUAUCUGGAUCCACGGCCUGAAAUCACCCACGCCAAAAAUCUCACCCAAACCGAUCGAUCGCAAUCCAAAGGUUCCUGUUAUCUCUAUCCAAAGCGUUACGCAUGAUAUAAUCUCGGCCGCCCAUUCAGAUCUAACGGUCUCCGAGCCCACAGCCGAUCCGGUUCGGUAUGACUUAAUCUAGGCCGUUCAUCGCGGAGUCAAGGGCCACCGCAUCGCCCCCAACCACACCCCGGCUGAGCAGAGCAGCGACGCCCGAGCUCCCGACGGCGCAUCGCUGGAGCGGCUUCAAUCCGGCGCCCUGACGCGCCAUACCCGAAAUCGCAUAGUGCAAAACAGUGUAUAGAUUAAGGCGGAACACAGGGAGUAGCCCUUACCGGCGAUAGUGGCGCAGGACUCACCACCCACAUGGAUAGGCGAUCCACGGUGGUGAUUCAGCUCCGACGAGCAAUGGCGGUGGCGGCUCCAAGUCCUCUGUGCUCUCGGUGCCGUGUUUGAAUGCGAGGACCAGGGGGUCGCAAGCAUGGUUUAUAUCGCCUCAAGGAUUCGUGAUGGCCGACGGAUUACGCGGAGCCCAACCACCUAGCAAACGCGCGAAGGUCGGUGAUGGCGGAGUCCGAUUUGCCGGGGAUCUCGGCGAGCAGUUGGGGAAAGAUGGAGCUGACGCCCUGGGCCCACAAAGCACGGAUGACGGAGGGUUGUUGGGGGAAGAAGUUGUUACGUGCCCAGAUUCCAGAAGCACGAGGCGAGCACACGCAAAACCACCAAUCGAGAUUCCGUUGAGAUCUCCAUGGAAAUAAUCUGGAGAAGGGAGCCAUGAGCGCUGGGCAAGCGGAUGGGUCUAACAGGCAUACCCCGAGGUCACGGGAGAAUCCAAACGGACUCCCCGGCGGUCAGUGAGCUAAUCCCGGGCUUCCCGGAACAGUCCGCGCGGAGGUGCGCUCCGGCCAUCUCGGCCGGUUUGUUUGCAACCACCACGCGCAGCGGAGGGGAUAGGCCUGACAUGCAGGGCCCACCGGCAGCGAAAGCUUGUUGGACGGGGGUGGGAUUGGAGUGAGGCUGGCAGUAGCGGCCCACCGGUCAGUGAGGCAGACAAAUGUCGCGUGACAGCAAGGGAAAGGAGAGGAGGGCGGGAGCAGGCCGGUCCAGAAGAGAGGUAAGAUUGGGCCGAAUUCGGACCCAGAGGCACAAGGCUAGUGUUAUCCCCAUUUCUUUUUCUUUUCUAUUAUCUUUUCUAUUUCUAUUUCAGAUAUCACAUUCAAAUUCAAAUCCCUGUUUAUAUUUUAGGAUUUCAACUUUCAAUCUAUAAUUCUAAUGUAAAGAUGAAUCCUAUUUCCAUUAUUAUUUAUUAUUCUACCUAUUAUUUAGUUACAAAUGGCUUGAUUAGGAUUUCCUUUCUUAUUUUCUAUUUUAUAUUUUCAUUUAUGAGUUGAGGCCAAAUUAAGUUAUGAUUUUCUUUAUUCAAAUAAAAUGCAUUACAAAAAUAACAUGAGCAUGGGAUGCACUUUCAUUUAUUUAAUUAUUGGUCACUUGACUAUUUUACUAUCUUAAUUGAUUACAAAAGAAAAGGUCCUAAUAAUUUUCAAAGGUGACAAAAAAAUUCUAGAAUUACUAUCAUAAGUAUAUUUUUAUUUUUCUUCUUUAUUUCAUUAUUUUUUUCCUUGUUACCGAUUUUGGGCUUCACACGACGCCACCAUGAUCACCAAAAUGGAGUUGGUGGAAGGCGAGCUGGGAAGAUUCGCAAUGAUCAGGGGAGAGGAACCAACACAAACCUACAACAGGCUCAAGACCCUGGUCAACAAGAUUCGAAGCUAUGGAAGCACAAGAUGGACGGACCAUGACGUUGUCCAACUCAUGCUAAGGUCAUUUACUGUAAUUGACCCCUAUCUUGUAAAUCUUAUUCGUGAAAAUCUUAGGUACACCAAAAUGACGCCUGAAGAGAUCCUCGGAAAAUUCGAGAGCGGGCGUAUGAUGGUAAAGGAGGCUCGAUACGUGGACGAUGCACUCAACGGUCCACUACCCGUCUAUGAGCAACAACCCUUUGCUCUCAAAGCAACCAGCAGCAAGGAGACACUACCAAGCAAGGUGGCACAAGUAGAAGCUACCGAGCUAAAUGAAGAUGAAAUGACGCUUAUCAUCAAGCGCUUCAAGAAUACACUUAAAGGACGCAAGGAGUACCCCAACAAGAAUAAAACAAAGGGAAAGCAUUAAUGCUUCAAAUGCGGUAAGACUUGUCACUUUAUUGCCCAAUGUCCCGAUAAUGAUCAUGACCAGGGACAAGAAAAAGGUGGGAAGAGGGAGAAAAAGAAAAACUACAGGAAGGCAAAGGGCGAGGCGCACCUUGGAAAGGAAUGGGAUUCGGAUUGCUCCUCUUCUGACUCCGAUGAUGAAGGAUUAGCUGCCUCGGCUUUCGACAAAUCUUCAAUCUUCCCCCAACGAACGCCAUACGUGUCUCAUGGCCAAGGAGAAGAAGGUAAGUAUUUGAGAUACACAUAAGUAUUCUUCUUCUAGUGAUGAGGAUUCUUCCGAUGAUGAAGUAGAUUACUCUGGCUUAUUUAAAGGUUUAGAUAGAGCCAAAGUUGAGAAAAUUAAUGAAUUAAUUGAUGCUCUAAAUGAAAAAGAUAAACUGCUAGAAAAGCAAGAGGAUAUUUUGUAUGAGGAACAUGACAAAUUUGUUAGUGUACAAAAAACUCUUGCUUUAGAAACUAAGUGAAAUGAAAUGUUGUCUUCUGAGUUAUCUGCUUGCCAUGAAACUGUCUCUAGUUUAAAGAAAUUAAAUGAUGAAUUAAAUGCAAAGCUAGAAGAAGUAAAUAAAGCUAGUUCAUGUGUAGAGCAUGUUGUUAUUUGUAAUAGAUGUAAGGACUUUGAUGUUGAUGUUUGUAAUAAACACCUUAUUUCUAUUGCUCAAUUAAACGAUGAGGUGGCAAGUCUUAAUGCUCAACUUAAGACUUGCAAGGUUGAUUUUGAUAAGUUAAAAUUUGCUAGGGAUGCCUACACCGUUGAUAGGCACCCCUCAAUUAAGGAUGUGCUUGGUUUUCGAAAGAAAGCCAAGAACUUAACAAGUCAAAGGACUCCCAUUCUCAACAAGGAGAAAGGGAAGGCCCUAUGGCUAGUAGUCCUCAAAGGAACCAUGCCUUUAUUUAUGAUAGGAAAAUUGCUAGUCGCACUCAUUACAAUAGGAGUUAUGAUCAUGUUGCUUAUAACUCACAUGCUAUGUUUACCUCUAGUUCUACUUCUAUUCAUGGUAAAAGUAGGCCUAGGAGAAAUCAUGUUGUGUCUCAUACUCCUAGAAAAAUGUGCAAUGGACCUUCUACUAUUUACCAUGCUUGUAAUGCUUCUUUUGUUCUUUCAUGUAGAAAUGCAAAAGUAGUAGCUAGAAAAUUGGGAUCCAAAUGCAAGGGAGACAAGACUUGUACUUGGGUUCCAAAAGUUAUUGUGACUAACCUUGCAGGACCCAACAAGAGUUGGGUACCUAAAACCCAAGCUUAAAUUCCUUACAGGUUUAUGCAUCCGGGGGCUCAAGCUGGAUUAUCGACAGCGGAUGCACAAACCACAUGACGGGGUAGAAGAAGAUGUUCACCUCCUACGUCAAGAACAAGGAUUCUCAGGAUACGAUCAUCUUUGGAGAUGGGAACCAAGGCAAGGUCAAAGGCUUGGGCAAGAUAGCCAUCACCAACAAGAACUCCAUAUCAAAUGUAUUUCUAGUAGAGUCGCUUAGUUACAACCUUCUGUCUGUAAGUCAAUUGUGUCACAUGGGUUAUAAUUGUCUUUUUACAAACGUUGAUGUAUCUGUCUUUAGAAGGAGUGAUGGUUCAUUAGCUUUUAAGGGUGUAUUAAACGACAAACUCUACUUAGUUGAUUUUUUGAAAGAGGAGGUCGAUCUAGAUGCAUGCUUAAUAGCUAAGACUAGUAUGGGUUGGCUGUGGCAUCGCCGUCAGCACAUGUUGGGAUGAAGAAUCUUCAUAAACUUUUAAAGGGAGAACAUGUGUUAGGACUAACCAAUGUUUGUUUCGAUAAAGUUAGGCCUUGUGAAGCAUGUCAGGCAGGGAAACAGGUGGGAAGCACUCAUCAUAGCAAGAAUGUGAUGACAACAUAAAGACCACCGGAGCUUCUUCACAUGGACCUCUUCGGACCCGUUGCCUACCUUAGCAUCGGGGGGAAGUAAGUAUGGUCUUGUAAUUAUUGAUGAUUUUUCCCGCUUCACUUGGGUGUUCUUUUUGCAGGAUAAAUCAGAAACCCAAGGGAUCCUAAAGCGCUUUAUAAGGAGGGCUCAAAACGAAUUUGAGCUAAAGGUGAAAAAGAUAAGGAGCGACAACGGGUCCGAGUUCAAGAAUCUGCAUGUUGAGGAGUAUCUAGAGGAGAAAGGCGUCAAGCACGAGUUCUCCGCUCCCUACACACCACAGCAAAACGGUGUGGUAGAGAGGAAGAACAGGACGCUUAUCGACAUGGCGAGAACGAUGCUUGGAGAGUUCAAGACGCUCGAGCGGUUUUGGUCGGAAGCUGUGAACACAACUUGCCACGCCAUAAACCGGCUCUAUCUGCAUCGCCUUCUCAAGAAGACCUCCUACGAACUCCUUACCAGUAACAAACCCAACGUCUCCUACUUUUGUGUAUUUGGGAGCAAAUGUUACAUUCUGGUAAAGAAAGGUAGUGUCAGUGUUUUGGGUCCGACCGCGCACCCAGGGUUGCCCUUUAAGGUGCUUUUUGGAGUAGGACGGUGUUAUCGACUGUAGCUCGAUGGUUCGUGCCAGAUGCACGAGAGACAGUAGACAAUCUUGUACAAGUUCGGGCCGCUUUGAGAUGCAUAACACCCUAUGUCCUGGUGUGGAUCUUUUAUGUGGCGGGUUAUAGGGGAGUUCUCUAGUAUGAGGGACGCUAGAGAGCUGAGUAGAUGGCUAAAAUGAGUGAGAUGUUGUUUGAGGGGGUGCCCCCUAGGCAUUAUAUACUCGACCGUAGGGCGUUACAUGCAGAUAUGAUAACAACGUGCGCCUAAGUAAUAGUGAACCAACUGAGCUUAUCUUCCUAUAAUCCUGCCGACUUAUCAUCAUUCAGUUCCGACGUUCGAGGGCGCUGCGCGGGAAAAUCGGAUCACUGUUGUGGAUAACGUUUGAAUUCAUUGGGCUGCCUUGGCUCGAGUUGAUCCAAUCUUGCGUCGAUCCACUCUGCCAUACAUUCCUCCCCAGGCCCACGGAGGGAUGGCCUUGCGAAACAAUGGGCCCAAGGCCUUUCGCGAGGUCUUCUAGCCUUCUAGUGUACCCGGGGGAUAUCUGUCCCCCACAAGCCCCCAAUCUUUGAGUUCAUUUUGAAAUAAUCGGCCCAAAUAUUCUAGGUCCAGCUUGCAGUUUUGAUUUUUUUAAUGUGGAUGCUUUGACAGUACGCUUGUCAAGUCGUUGCCUCUGAGCUUUGAUCGGUCAGCUUAUGCUUUACAGAUAAGCACUUCAUUUUUUUAAUGUGUGAAGACGCCAAUGGGUGUAGCCCCCGAGCUUUGAGUGGAUUACUGAAGAUAAUUCACUCAAAGGUCUUCAUUUCCUGCUUUUUAGAAGUUGUUGGUUCAUCUUUGUCUUAUGCUUUAGAAACCAGCAUUUCAUCGUCAGUUAAUGCUUUAGAGAUCAGCAUUCUGUCCUCUGGGAUUAAUGAUUCAUUGGGUGCACCGGAGGUGCACUCAAUGGGUGUAGCCCCCGAGCUUUGAGUAGAUUAUUGAAAAUAAUCUACUCAAAGGUCUUCAUCUCACGUUUUUAGAAAUUGUCAUUUUAUCUUCGUCGGAUGCCUUAGAAUUUAGCAUUAUAUCAUCGGUUUUAUGCUUUAGAGAUCAGCAUAUGGUUUUGCCUUUGAGAUCAGUAAUGUGGUCUACCCAUGUCCUGUUAGGUUUGAAAUUUAUUUGAUCGGCGACAGAUUGGACGUCCGAUAGACGGCUCUUUGGCUGGUCUUUAUUUCGCUUCGUGCUUCAAUGCUUCUGUUGAUUAGACUUGUACUUCAGCAGCUAUUUUUGGCUUUCCUCUGAUCUAUAUCGAUAUCUUUCUUCUGUCUUAAUACAUUCAUUGUGUAUACUAUAUGGAUGUGACUGCUUGGAAAAAUCUAUUGAAAAUUCCUGAACGUCCCUCCCAAUGGGUGUAGCCAGGGGACGGGUUGGUGCACUGAGCGUUUAGCAAACUGCCUCUGAGUAGUAACUUUACGUGACCGCGGGGUGUAAUCAUAUCGUCCAAGCAGUUGACUUCAGUCCCAAUGGGUGUCGUGUUACGUGAAACGAUGUCUACUACCUGACUUGUUUCCAGACGAUUUGAAUGGCUUCUUGAAUAUUUGCGACUGUUCGGUGACCGUGGUAGGAGAUGAGCGGUUGCCUUCUUCCUCUAUAAAUAGACCGCUUGCUUCACUGGCGUCUUCACACAUCUCUCUACCAUUUGUUGCUUAUUCUCCUCUUUUCUCUUCAUUUCUACUCAAACAUGGGAAAGAGCAAGAAAGGCGGAAGUUCGUCGCACCACUCUGGCGACAAGCGGAAGCGUGAGCCGUGCCCUCCCUCGGAGGACUUCGGCGAUUCCGAGUACUCGGAGGAGGAGUUUUCCUCCGAGUCCGAGGGGUCGCCGGUCUACACCUCUCCCCCGGCAUCGUCCGAUGACUCGUACGAUUCCCUGGGGAUUGCCGCCGAGGUGUGGACAUACAUCUGGGUUGUCGAGCGCUCCGGGCUCGAGGGCUCGGAUGAGUCGGAGGUCUCCUCGGACGAGGAGAACUCCUCUGACUCAUCCGAGGAGGAGAGCGGCGGUGACGGCGACGACGAGGGCGACGGCGGCGACGGAGGCGACGGUGAUGGUGACGGCGACGGUGGCGACGGCAAGAGCGGCAGAGGCAGCAGCAAGGCCAGUGGCAAAGCGCCACUAGCUUAAAUGUUAGUAUAGAUAAAUAGUAGUAGAAGUAGUAUUAGUGGAAUAAUGUAGUAGUAGUUAGUAGUAUAGUGUAGUGUAGGCAGUAAUGUAAUGUAGUAAUGUAAUGUAUCGAAAAAUGGGAAGAAGACCGGCUCAUAAUGAGUCGGUCUUUGAGUUUGUGGAAGGACUUCUCCCUUUAUAUAAUAAAGAAAACUUCAGCUUUUUUUGUGCAUAUCUUUUGCCUUUUCAUUGUUCCUUUAUAGUUGAUCGACAGCUUGUAUUUGUGCCCAACACAGUCGUUGUUCUCAGAGAUAACGCUCAAGUAACAACUUGUAAUUGUUGUGUCGUAUUGAAUUCUGCCUACAUUUUCGUAGAGAAAAAACGGCUGGGUUACUGCUGGUGUCUUCAGAGGUAACAGUCGAAUUAUGCUAGAUUGCAUCGGUGUUUUAGAAGCAAUAGCCGAGUUAUGCUGGGCUAUGCCGGUGUUUUAAAAGUAACAACCGAGUGGUGCUUGGCGACGUCAGCGUUUUUAGAGGUAACAGCCGAGUCAUGCUGAGCCACGUCGGCGUUUUAGAAAUAACAGUCGAGUGGUGCUUGGCGACGUCGACGUUUUAGAGGUAACAGCCGACUCAUAUCGAGCCACGUCGGUGUUUUAGAAAUAACGGUCGAGUGGUGACUAAGCACUUUUUAGAAACGGUGUCUGACCCGGGAAAACCCCAUUUAUAUCACGUCGCCGCACGCCUCUGUGUUCUGAGCCCUAGCCUCAACUUUUUGCCUUCGAACAUCCUAUGUUUCCCUUUGAUUUUGCUUCCGCUCAGUCCACCGACGAGAUUGCGAUGGCGCCCAAGCAGAAGAACCAGAAUUUUGCUACUGUGGUCAUUCCUCCUAUCGAUCUCAAUAGCGAGUUGCCUUUCGCAAGUAAUCACAUGUCUGUUGUUUUCAAGUCGGAUCUUCUCCACCUUGUCGAUGUCAGAGUUCUUUCUCCGAAGGAGCUUUGCUCUUGGCGGAUUUGCCAUGGGGUUACUGUCCCGACAGAAGAUACUCACGGGUCCGUUGUUUACAUCCCUUUUCUUAUCCGCGGCCUUGCUCUUCCCAUUUCUCCCUUCUUUCGCGGUCUCCUUGACUUUUACAAUCUGAAUCUGACUCACCUGAAUCUCAACUCUAUUCUGCAAAUUUUCGUCUUUGUUCAUCUGUGUGAGGCCUACCUUGGAAUUCUUUCUCACUUCGGCUUGUGGAAGUAUUUGUGUCACUGUCGUCCUGGGAUGGCUGGGGGGCAGCACCAGCUCGUGGGCGGUGCGAGUCUGGAGAUGCGUCGUGAGAGGAAAACAGAAUACCUUGAUAUCCCACUUAAGGAUAGCAUUAAAGGAUGGCGUUUAGAGUGGUUCAUUGUGAAAAACCAUGGCAAGUCCCUCCCCCCCCUCGGUUAGGGAGACAGCUGGAUGUUCGCACUCCAAGUUGGAUUGAGUCUCCUACAGACUUGGAGAUAACAGAAGCCAAGGUUCUGCUUACUGAAAUUUGUUUGCUGAAGGAGAGAGGUCUGACCGCUGAAGUUGUGGUUGCAGAUUUUGUUUUUAAGAAUAUUCAACCACUGAAGGACAGAGCAUACCUGGUUUAUUUGUACACUGGUGUCACCGACUCAACCCGGGUUACCAACAAGAGGAUUCCUGCUUUGGAUUUGGUGAGCCGACUGGAGAUGAUCUUGAGAGGCAAAGUAUCAAAUAUUGGUGCUCCUAUUGCAUAUUCUGCUUGGAAUCUGCCACCUUCUAAGUCCUUUUUCAAUUUUGUGUCCAAUCCUCCUGCUGGUGAUAGUGGUUUGGGUCUUAGAGUGUGACCCUCUUUCGAAGAUGUUGAGGUCCUGGUUGCUUCACUUGGUGAUCUU
rnacentral:lncRNA from 1 species